rnacentral:lncRNA from 1 species
AGCUGGCUUAAUUCCCCUCCUCUUGAUGGGGUACUGGCCUUAGUGACAAACAGAAUAUGAUGAAAACAAAGGGCAUGACGCUGGAGACCAGGUCAUAGAGGGCAUUGAGGCUUCCUCCUUGCCCUGUUGCCUGAAUCACUCACUCUGGGCAAAGCAGUGGCCAUCUUGUGAGAUAAUUUCAAGAGGGCACUCAAGCCAUCCUAUGGAGAGGCCCAUCUGGUGAGGAACAGAAGGUUCCAGACAACAGCCCACAAGAAUAACUGAGGCCUUCAGUCAAGAACCAAAUGACGCUGUCAGGAGUCUUCCAGAUCAUAAUUGGAAUGCCAUCUGGGUUAGGAUCUCCUAUGGAUAGAUAAACACAACAAGAGGGCAAAACUUGAUCAAGGCAACCCUCCAUAUUGGUAACUUACGGUCAAAUUUCAAAAAUUCAAAAUCAUGAUCUGUCAAGAGGAAGAAGGAAAAUUGAAAAUCUUCUUAGCUGAUGCCUCACAGGGUCUGAGUGCUGCUGGCAAUGCGACAGCAAAAGGGGAGGAUUAAGCACUGCCUGGUACAUAAUAUCAGAAGUCCUGAAAGGAAGUGAAAAUCAAGCUUUCUGUAUAGGAUCAGUAAAUUUCUGGAUUUCCAACUGAGCUUCUCUGUUUCAGGGAAUAAAUUACUGAUUCCAAACCACUCUCUAGAUCUUUGUGACCUUUGGUAACAUCCCUUGAUCCCUUGUUAUUGGCUAAAGCCUGGAAAGAAAAAUUCUGAAAGGCAAAUAAUAGCAAAGACUAAGAACAUGGGGUCUGGCUACUUUUUUCAUCCCACUGAUUUUUCCUCAGUAGCAACCUCAUGUGCAGCUGACCUCAUGGUCUAUUCUCAUUUCUCCUCUGACAGAAAUCUUUUGCUCAAUUUCCAUUCUAGAACAUCUCUGAUUCUUUCCUCUAGGCUUCACUUAAUCACUGAGCCCAAAAGGUACUAAAU